rnacentral:lncRNA from 1 species
CAUACUUUAUGAAAGUAUCAAUGCUGUAGGUGGAAGGAAGAGGCUUCCCGCAGGAAGGCGCCAUUGGCCUGUUGCUCCCAUUUCCCUUUGGCUGGAUGUGCAGAAUAUGAAUUGAGUUCUUUAAAAAAUACCCUCAGGCAAACAGAGGCUGCAGAUGAGCCCAGAAUGGCUACAAAGAAUCAACUGGAGGAAAGACUGGACACACACGUAAGGCUCAAGUAUGUUUUUGUUUACGUUCUUCUCACAAGGUCUUUGCACUAGUUUAAGAUACCAGCUAACAAUGAACAGGGUUUAUUCUUAUUUAGAAAAAAGAAAACAAAGGUGACAAGUGAAAUGGGUAUCAGCUGAACCAGAACACCUUACAUUUUUACAAGGUUUUAAAUUUGACCAACCCAACCCUUUUCUGCUCCAUGUAGGUUUUCACAUAUUCGGGAUUGUUAACACAUUUGAGUAGAUUUCACUUGGACUGCACUAAGGCAGUAGUUUCUCAGCUUCUUUGAAAAUAGUCUCACUUGUAUUUCCAUACAGACUAUGAAAAGAAACCAGUGCUUUGGUCACUUCAAACUUAGCUUUGAUUUCUCAAAGAAAUACAAUUAAUAGCUGGAAAGCACUAGAAUAUCUGACUGACUUAGAGCCAAGGAAAAAUACUUAAAAUCCUUUUUUAUUUUAUAAUUAACUGUCGAUGUUGUACCCAGUGGCCUCACUCUUCAACCAACUGUUCUUCCAAAAGGCUAAGUCGUUAAAUUUUAUUUCCUCGACACGUAAUUCUUUGGGCUACUGACUCAGAAACCAUGACCUAAGUAUCAGUAAAUGGCUUUCUUGGCUAACAGACUUUGGCUGUAGCCUCACUUUCAUUUCUUAUUUUUGUGAAGAAAUCACAAUGUGUUAAGAUACUCCAUUUUAAAAUGUCUGUUGCUUUCCCAGUAGUUGGGCGUGUUGUGAUAAGUGCUUGGUCUGCUUAUGUCAACAUAUAUUGUGUUUUUUAGCAGUUAUAGUAUCAUUCCUUGACAAACACAGUAUUUACCAUAUAAUUUGGUAAGAAAAUCCACAUUCCAGUGUGCCUUCAAGGCACAGCAUUCAAAGUGCAGUUUUCUUGUUUUGACAUAAUGAUCUGGUAACAGAAAAAAAAAAGUUUUUGUACAGAUAGACAAAGCACUGCAAAUGCUUUCAUAUCAUAGCUGCAUCACUGAUUGUGUCGCAUACCAAAAGGGAAUGUGAAAUGCUAAGAAAGCCAUAAGCAGUUUCUGUAGCAGCUAGUCAG